CUGUUAAAUGGGUACAAUAAAUACAUAUCUCUGAAGGUUGCUGCGAUGAUUACAUGAAAUAAACACAUGGCACAGUACCUGGUAUGUAAUAAGUACCCAAUUAAAUAUAACUUUUUUUAGGAAGUGACAGUAAUAGGAAGAACUCAGUAUGUUUGUUGAAUGAUUCUUACAUGAUACCUCUUAACAUAGGUGAUUACAUGGAUCCAACACCUGAUCCCCAAGAUUGAAGAUGGAAAUGAUUUUGGGGUAGCAAUCCAGGAGAAGGUGCUGGAGAGGGUGAAUGCCGUCAAAACCAAAGUGGAAGCUUUCCAGACAACCAUUUCCAAGUGAGGGCAGCUGGAGGACCAGCAUUGGGGGCAGUAGGAGCAUUUCUUUGGGACCCCCAGAGCUGGGCAGCCCUAUCAGGAUGAUGGGAGACUUUGGGAAGGGUCUGAGGGAGUACAUCUCCUGGAACACUCAUUCCUGUGGUAUUCCCUUGCUUCUG
rnacentral:sRNA from 1 species